rnacentral:rRNA from 1 species
CCUACGGGAGGCAGCAGUGGGGAAUAUUGCGCAAUGGGCGAAAGCCUGACGCAGCGACGCCGCGUGAGGGAUGAAGGUCUUCGGAUCGUAAACCUCUGUCAGCAGGGAAGAACGGUCACUGUGCUAAUCAGCAGUGAAUUGACGGUACCUGCAAAGGAAGCACCGGCUAACUCCGUGCCAGCAGCCGCGGUAAUACGGAGGGUGCGAGCGUUAAUCGGAAUUACUGGGCGUAAAGCGCUCGUAGGCGGUAUGUCAAGUCAAGGGUGAAAUCCCCGCGCUCAACGUGGGAACUGCCUUGGAAACUGGCAAACUGGAGUGUGUGAGAGGAUAGUGGAAUUCCAGGUGUAGGAGUGAAAGCCGUAGAUAUCUGGAGGAACAUCAGUGGCGAAGGCGACUAUCUGGCACAUAACUGACGCUGAGGAGCGAAAGCGUGGGUAGCAAACAGGAUUAGAUACCCCAGUAGUC